rnacentral:tRNA from 1 species
GGUGGCUCAGUGGUAAAGCACUUGCCUUGCAUGCAAGAGGCCCUAGGUUUGAUUCCUCAGUGCCA